rnacentral:rRNA from 1 species
ACGUAGGUGGCGAGCGUUACUCGGAUUCACUGGGCGUAAAGGGUCCGCAGGGGGUCUGCCAAGUCUGACGUGAAAGCCCACAGCUCAACUGUGGAACGGCGUUGGAUACUGGCGGGCUGGAGGACAGGAGGGGAGAGCGGAAUUCCUGGUGUAGCGGUGAAAUGCGUAGAUAUCAGGAGGAACACCCAUGGCGAAGGCAGCUCUCUGGAGAGGUACUGACGCUGAUGGACGAAAGCGAGGGGAGCAAACGG